rnacentral:rRNA from 1 species
GACGAACGCUGGCGGCGUGCCUAAUACAUGCCAGUUGAGCGCUGAAGGUUGGUACUUGUACCAACUGGAUGAGCAGCGAACGGGUGAGUAACGCGUGGGGAAUCUGCCUUUGAGCGGGGGACAACAUUUGGAAACGAAUGCUAAUACCGCAUAAAAACUUUAAACACAAGUUUUAAGUUUGAAAGAUGCAAUUGCAUCACUCAAAGAUGAUCCCGCGUUGUAUUAGCUAGUUGGUGAGGUAAAGGCUCACCAAGGCGAUGAUACAUAGCCGACCUGAGAGGGUGAUCGGCCACAUUGGGACUGAGACACGGCCCAAACUCCUACGGGAGGCAGCAGUAGGGAAUCUUCGGCAAUGGACGAAAGUCUGACCGAGCAACGCCGCGGGAGUGAAGAAGGUUUUCGGAUCGUAAAACCCUGUUGGUAGAGAAGAACGUUGGUGAGAGUGGAAAGCUCAUCAAGUGACGGUAACUACCCAGAAAGGGACGGCUAACUACGUG